AAAUCACCAAUUCUCAUACGACCACCCAAGUUAAACAACGUCACGCCUGGUCAGUACCUAGAUGGGUGACCGCUAGGGAAUACAAGGUGCUGUAAG